rnacentral:lncRNA from 1 species
GUGAUUCAGGCGGCAGAUCUGUCUUAAAAGAGACAAUGCUUUAUGAUUCUCUUUUGUUGUACUUACCCAGAAACCUGAGCUUGCCUGCCCUAGUGCAGGAAGAAAAGGAAGGCCUGGAAAUAUGAUUCUUGCUUUACAGAGACGGAAUGAUAAAAUCGAUGCAGAACACGUGGUAAAAGCACAGGUCAAGGAUGUGGUAGGAGCUUCUGCUUUUUGGAUGAGAAGCAAACAACCGUGAUAAACUUCAGGUCUGUCCUUCCAUCACCUUGACAUCAGCUUUUCCUCCAUCUAUGGAAAGUUCCAUUGUGUCCCUGUCCAGUGUGACAAGGCACUAGAAAUCAGAGCUGCUCUGUCUGUUCUCUGUGCCAGUCAUUUCCUUUCUGUUCCUGGCGCUCGUCUAAGUGGUCCUGGAGUAGAGUUAUCGUGUCUCACACGCCAGCAUCCUUUCCGCCAUCAGAGGAGAUCUACAGCUGCCUUCCCAACAUUCCCCUCAGUGCUUUUGGGGCGUGGACUGCUGAACCCCACCCCCGCACCCUGGGAUCUCAGAGUGGAGAAGUGAGUCAGGUCUGGACAGGCAGAGUGUAGUGUUGUGGACACACAGAUUGAGCCAGGAGGCAC